rnacentral:rRNA from 1 species
AUUGAACGCUGGCGGAAUGCUUUACACAUGCAAGUCGAACGGCAGCGCGGACUUCGGUCUGGUGGCGAGUGGCGAACGGGUGAGUAAUGUAUCGGAACGUGCCCAGUCGUGGGGGAUAACGUAGUGAAAAUUACGCUAAUACCGCAUACGAUCUAUGGAUGAAAGCGGGGGAUCGCAAGACCUCGCGCGAUUGGAGCGGCCGAUAUCAGAUUAGGUAGUUGGUGGGGUAAAGGCCCACCAAGCCAACGAUCUGUAGCUGGUCUGAGAGGACGAACCGCCACACUGGAACGGAGACACGGUCCAGACUCCUACGGGAGGCAGCAGUGGGGAAUUUUGGACAAUGGGCGAAAGCCUGAUCCAGCCAUUCCGCGUGCAGGAUGAAGGCCCUCGGGUUGUAAACUGCUUUUGUACAGAACGAAAAGGUUUCUACUAAUACUAGGAGCUCACGACGGUACUGUAAGAAUAAGCACCGGCUAACUACGUGCCAGCCGCCGCGGUAA